rnacentral:rRNA from 1 species
ACGGGUGAGGAAUACAUCGGAAUCUACUUUUUCGUGGGGGAUAACGUAGGGAAACUUACGCUAAUACCGCAUACGACCUACGGGUGAAAGCAGGGGAUCUUCGGACCUUGCGCGAUUGAAUGAGCCGAUGUCGGAUUAGCUAGUUGGCGGGGUAAAGGCCCACCAAGGCGACGAUCCGUAGCUGGUCUGAGAGGAUGAUCAGCCACACUGGAACUGAGACACGGUCCAGACUCCUACGGGAGGCAGCAGUGGGGAAUAUUGGACAAUGGGCGCAAGCCUGAUCCAGCCAUACCGCGUGGGUGAAGAAGGCCUUCGGGUUGUAAAGCCCUUUUGUUGGGAAAGAAAUCCAGCUGGUUAAUACCCGGUUGGGAUGACGGUACCCAAAGAAUAAGCACCGGCUAACUUCGUGCCAGCAGCCGCGGUAAUACGAAGGGUGCAAGCGUUACUCGGAAUUACUGGGCGUAAAGCGUGCGUAGGUGGUCGUUUAAGUCCGUUGUGAAAGCCCUGGGCUCAACCUGGGAACUGCAGUGGAUACUGGGCGACUAGAAUGUGGUAGAGGGUAGCGGAAUUCCUGGUGUAGCAG